rnacentral:rRNA from 1 species
CGUUUGAUCCCGGCGGAGGCCAUUCGCUAUCGGAGUCCGAUUUAGCCAUGCUAGUCGCACGAACUCAGAUUCGUGGCGUAUAGCUCAGUAACACGUGGCCAAACUGCCCUACAGACCGCACUAACCUCGGGAAACUGAGGCCAAUGGCGGAUACAGCUCUCAUGCUGGAGUGCCGAGAGCUGGAAACGUUCCGGCGCUGUAGGAUGUGGCUGCGGCCGAUUAGGUAGAUGGUGGGGUAACGGCCCACCAUGCCGAUAAUCGGUACAGGUUGUGACAGCAAGAGCCUGGAGACGGUAUCUGAGACAAGAUACCGGGCCCUACGGGGCGCAGCAGGCGCGAAACCUUUACACUGCACGACAGUGCGAUAGGGGGACUCCGAGUGCGAGGGCAUACUAGCCCUCGCUUUUCUGAACCGUAAGGUGGUUCAGGAACAAGGACUGGGCAAAACCGGUGCCAGCCGCCGCGGUAAUACCGGCAGUCCGAGUGAUGGCCGAUCUUAUUGGGCCUAAAGCGUCCGUAGCCUGCCGUGUAAGUCCGUUGGGAAAUCGGCCAGCUCAACUGGCCGGCGUCCAGCGGAAACUGCGCGGCUUGGGGCCGAGAGACUCGACGGGUACGUCCGGGGUAGGAGUGAAAUCCUGUAAUCCUGGACGGACCACCGAUGGCGAAAGCACGUCGAGAGACCGGACCCGACGGUGAGGGACGAAAGCUGGGGUCUCGAACCGGAUUAGAUACCCGGGUAGUCCCAGCUGUAAACAAUGCCUGCUAGGUAUGUCACGCGCCAUGAGCGCCUGAUGUGCCACAGUGAAGACGAUAAGCAGGCCGCCUGGGAAGUACGUCCGCAAGGAUGAAACUUAAAGGAAUUGGCGGGGGAGCACCACAACCGGAGGAGCCUGCGGUUUAAUUGGACUCAACGCCGGACAUCUCACCGGUCCCGACAGUAGUCAUGACGGUCAGGUUGACGACCUUACCCGACGCUACUGAGAGGAGGUGCAUGGCCGCCGUCAGCUCGUACCGUGAGGCGUCCUGUUAAGUCAGGCAACGAGCGAGACCCA